UAAGGAAUAUUGGUCAAUGGACGCAAGUCUGAACCAGCCAUGCCGCGUGCAGGAUGAAGGUCCUACGGAUCGUAAACUGCUUUUGUACGGGAAAAAACCCCUUGUUUCUACGAGGGUUGAUGGUACCGUAAGAAUAAGGAUCGGCUAACUCCGUGCCAGCAGCCGCGGUAAUACGGAGGAUCCGAGCGUUAUCCGGAUUUACUGGGUUUAAAGGGUGCGUAGGUGGAAUGUCAAGUCAGUGGUGAAAACCUGCAGCUUAACUGUAGAACUGCCAUUGAUACUGUCAUUCUUGAGUGUAUUUGAUGUAAGUGGAAUGUGUCAUGUAGCGGUGAAAUGCUUAGAUAUGACACAGAACACCCAUUGCGAAGGCAGCUUACAAAACUACAACUGACACUGAGGCACGAAAGCGUGGGGAUCAAACAGGAUUAGAUACCCCUGUAGUCC
rnacentral:rRNA from 1 species